GGGCCGCACGCGCGCUACACUGACGGAGCCAGCGAGUCUAGCCUUGGCCGAGAGGUCAUGGGUAAUCUUGUGAAACUCCGUCGUGCUGGGGAUAGAGCAUUGCAAUUAUUGCUCUUCAACGAGGAAUUCCUAGUAAGCGCAAGUCAUCAGCUUGCGUUGAUUACGUCCC
rnacentral:rRNA from 1 species